GGAAGGGUAGCGAAGUGGUUAAACGCGUCUGCCUGUAGAUUAGAUCUCAAUGAGUUCGGGGGUUCGAAUCCCUCCCCUUCCA
rnacentral:tRNA from 1 species